rnacentral:rRNA from 1 species
GAUUAACGCUGGCGGCGUGCCUAACACAUGCAAGUCGAGCGGCAGCGCGUUUUACACUGAAUUCUGGAAGCUUCUAGUUGAAAGAGAAGAUUUAUUCAAGAAUUUUGUGUAAAAUGUCGGCGAGCGGCGGACGGCUGAGUAACGCGUGGGAACGUACCCCAAAGUGAGGGAUAACGCAUCGAAAGGGGUGCUGUUACCGCAUAUGGUCUUCGGAUUAAGGCCUUCGGGCGCUUUGGGAACGGCCUGCGUAAGAUUAGAUAGUUGGUGGGGUAAUGGCCUACCAAGUCGACGAUCUUUAACUGGUUUGAGAGGAUGAUCAGUCAGACUGGAACUGAGACACGGUCCAGACUCCUACGGGAGGCAGCAGUGAGGAAUCUUCCACAAUGGGCGAAAGCCUGAUGGAGCAACGCCGCGUGCAGGAUGAAGGCCUUCGGGUUGUAAACUGCUUUUAUAAGUGAGGAUUAUGACAGUAACUUAUGAAUAAGGAUCGGCUAACUACGUG